UACGGGGGGGGGUUAGUGUUAUUCAUCUUUACUGGGUGUAAAGCGCAUUAAGGUUGUUUUUUAAGUUUAAAAUAGAAUAAUCUAAGCCUAACUUAGAAACUAUUUUUUAUACUAAAAAGCUUGAGGUCAAAAGAGGAUAGCUAUACCCUUCAGAAAAAGGUGAAAUUUGUCCGAACUGGGGGGGAUAAUCAGCUGGCGGAGGCGGCUUUCCAUGAUGAUACUGACACUCUGGUGCAAAAGCUUGGGGAUCAAACGGG
rnacentral:rRNA from 1 species